rnacentral:rRNA from 1 species
CACUGACAUUAGAUACCCGCGUAGUCCAGGGUGUAAACGCUGCAGACUUGGUGUUGGGAACCCUUCGGGGGUGCUCAGUGCCGGAGAGAAGUUGUUAAGUCUGCUACUUGGGGAGUACGUCCGCAAGGAUGAAACUUAAAGGAAUUGGCGGGGGAGCACCACAACGGGAGGAGCGUGCGGUUUAAUUGGAUUCAACGCCGAAAAACUCACCAGCAGCGACUGUUACAUGAAAGUCAGGUUGAUGACCUUACUAGAUUUUCAG